AUUAAGAUGGCAGACUAGUGCACUAGACUUAAGCUCUAAAUAUAAGAUCCUAUCUUUCUUAAUA
rnacentral:tRNA from 1 species